rnacentral:rRNA from 1 species
UAGCAAGUUCAUAAGAGCAAACGGUGAAUGCCUUGGCAUCUGGAGCCGAAGAAGGACGUCGUAAUCUGCGAUAAGCCUCGGGGAGCUGAUAAACGAGCUGCGAUCCGAGGAUUUCCGAAUGGGGAAACCCCGCCAGGCCCCUUGUGGUGACCUGGUGACUCCCGCCUGAAUAUAUAGGGCGGGUAGAGGGAACGUGGGGAAGUGAAACAUCUCAGUACCCACAGGAAGAGAAAACAACAGUGAUUCCGUCAGUAGUGGCGAGCGAACGCGGAAGAGGCUAAACCGAGUCAUGUGUGAUACCCGGCAGGGGUUGCAUGGCCGGGGUUGUGGGACUUUUCGUUCCGGUCUGCCGGCCGGUGAACGUUACAGCGCAUCAUAGACGAACAGGUUUGAACGCCUGGCCAGAGCGGGUGCGAGCCCCGUAGUCGAAAUGGUGUUAUGACGUGAAGAGUAUCCCAAGUAGCACGGGGCCCGAGAAAUCCCGUGUGAAUCUGUCAGGACCACCUGAUAAGCCUAAAUACUCCCAGAUGACCGAUAGCGG